rnacentral:lncRNA from 1 species
GCGUCGGCGAUCCGGGGUCUGGGCGCGGCGAGGUCUGGUGUGGCAGAUGUGGAUAGCUGGACCCUCCUGGGUGCCUCUGCGUUAUGUCGUUUGGUUGAUGCAUUUGGAGAGAAUCUGUGCUCUCCACAACUGCAGGGGCAACAUGCUUUCCUGGCCUCUUCAGAUCAGGGUGGCUGUUCUUGGGUGCUGCACCAAAACUCCAGCAGUGGGCUUUCUUCAAGUGGCCGGCUCACCUCAUUCCUGCCAAGACCCAGGUCCGUGUUCUCACAGUGCUGCCAUCUUUCCUCCGUGUGAGCGUGGGCUGUGCGGAGAGUGGACCUCGGUGUGUGCGGGGCUGCGUGCACUGCCAUCGCUCCCUCUACACGAGCCGGCGUGGACCCAGGGCUGAGCUGUGACCACGAGGGCCAUCCCGACGAGCCGCCAUGGACCCAGGGCUGAGCUGUGACCAUGAGGGCUAUCCCGACGAGCUGCCGUGGACCCAGGGCUGAGCCGUGACCAUGAGGGCCAUCCCGAAACUGUGAUUGUUUUCUGAUGAAGAAACCAAGGCUUUGUGACUAACUCAACCCCUCAAGAAGGACAAAACUAGCAUCAGAGCCCCUUGCUCCUGGGUCUGGCAAGAAUGCCUCUUGUUUGCUGAGAGGUCCACAGAUUUACCCGGCUCAAGACUGGGAGAUGGGAGGUGACCAGAAUGUGGAAGCGUCGGCCGAGCGCGGUCCUUGGAGAACCCUUGCUGCGGAGAAUGACGCUCACUCUGCGGCCUGGCCUCGCCUCCCCAUCCCUUCUGCAAACUCACAGGACAGGAUUGAUGGGGAGAGCCCAGGCGAAACGAAGCUGACCCUAGUGACCAGCCCUACUGGCGGCUCUGGAACAGGCCCGGGACCGGUGGCCUGGAGACAGUGGUCCUUUCUGGAUGGGCUGCAGUCUCCGAAGGCUUCCCCCACUGGAGUCAGCCCUUUAGGAGUUUGUCCAGUGCCUCCAGAAAGCUGUUUUUUGGGGGACGGAGGACUUGGCCUGGAAUUCUGGAAUUCCCAGGGGGUCAGACAUGGUUAUGGGAAGUUUAAUAAAACCGGUGAAUCACGUGAA